ACGAACGCUGGCGGCGUGCUUAACACCUGCAAGUCGAACGGAAAGGCCCUGCUUUUGUGGGGUGCUCGAGUGGCGAACGGGUGAGUAACACGUGAGUAACCUGCCCUUGACUUUGGGAUAACUUCAGGAAACUGGGGCUAAUACCGGAUAGGAGCUCCUGCUGCAUGGUGGGGGUUGGAAAGUUUCGGCGGUUGGGGAUGGACUCGCGGCUUAUCAGCUUGUUGAUGGGGUAGUGGCUUACCAAGGCUUUGACGGGUAGCCGGCCUGAGAGGGUGACCGGCCACAUUGGGACUGAGAUACGGCCCAGACUCCUACGGGAGGCAGCAGUGGGGAAUAUUGCACAAUGGGCGGAAGCCUGAUGCAGCAACGCCGCGUGCGGGAUGACGGCCUUCGGGUUGUAAACCGCUUUCGCCUGUGACGAAGCGUGAGUGACGGUAAUGGGUAAAGAAGCACCGGCUAACUACGUG
rnacentral:rRNA from 1 species